rnacentral:rRNA from 1 species
UACGGGGGGGGGCAAGCGUUGUUCGGAAUUACUGGGCGUAAAGGGCUCGUAGGUGGCCAACUAAGUCAGACGUGAAAUCCCUCGGCUUAACCGGGGAACUGCGUCUGAUACUGGAUGGCUUGAGUUCGGGAGAGGGAUGCGGAAUUCCAGGUGUAGCGGUGAAAUGCGUAGAUAUACGGAGGAACACCAGCGGCGAAGGCGGGUAGCUGGGCCAACACUGACGCUGAUGUGCGAAAGCUAGGGGAGCAAACGGG